UUCGACGUUCGGCGCGCGACUGACUGCUGGGACGAUUUCAAACUGGGCGAAGCAUGACGUCAGAGUCUACGCAUCCGCGCGCGCUCCGCCAGCCAAUCAGCGCUCGGCUGCCGUUUCGACGAUCCGCGUUCGCCUCGGAAUUGCUGUGUUCUUCGACAAAGAUGAUCAUGACCUCGUAAAUCUUGACUGCUGGCUGACGAUUGGUCGGAAAGAGUUACGCGUUUUAUACGCGCGCGCGUGUGUGUGUGUGCAUGAAAAUGAAGAAUUAAGAACGUAAUUAACAAGCGAAAUAAGA